ACGUUCACCAGUUUUUCCAAUUUUACCAACACAUUCACUCAAUUUUUCCAAUAAUACCCACACAAUCACAUUUAAUUCUUUUGUCAUUUUCGAUGGGUUAUACAUAUAUUUAUCUCAUAAUUUUCGUGAAUACUUAUUAAACUUAACUAUAGUGAGUGCGAAAGUGACAGCAAAAAACAAGUUGCAAAUGUCAAAUACAAAAAUUAAUUCUGUGAAAAUCUCCAAGCAAAAAGAAAAACGUAUUCACAAGAGUCUGAGAUGAGAUCUGUGGAGACGGCAUGAUUUUGGCACUCAUCCAGCUGAGUCUUCAGUACCGCGAUUUCACCCUGAAGUUGCCUGUUCAGUUGAAUUUGUGCUUCAGCUUUCCCCACACGUUCUUCCAUUGUUUUCACAGCUUUCCGCAGGUUCGCCAUUUCAGCCGCUAUUUCACCAAACCGCUGCAUUACUCGCUCUUCAGAUGUUUUCACUCGUUCCGAAAUCUCUUCGAUGAUGCUCCUUCUCUGCAGCUCGAGUUGUUCCUCUAUCCGCUCAAGCCAGAAAGGAGGUGGCGAGCUCCCUUUUUUCUUCGCUUUGUUUAGAGUGCUCGCGCUGUUUUGCGGAGUGGAUACCGUUUGGCGUGUGAUUUUUCCUCUGGUGCGUACACUAAAUUAUUUUCACGGCCACGGAGUUAGAUAGUGAUCAAAGAGACCCGUAUUAGCAAAAGACUAUAUAAGAUAGGUGGUCACAAACACAAGUAAAUAAAAGAUAACUGCAGCGCACAAAAAAACACGUCUACUCUGUUUGCAUAUGCAUAUGGUAAUUUGCGGGUAUCUUUCUUUUGGUAAGUUUGCUUAACGUAAACAAAUUCUUUUUCGCUUAUAAAAUGUGCAAAAGCAUGACCAGUGCCGGUGGUCAUAGCUUUUGCAUCCAUACAUACACUGCGCAGUGUGUUUUGUGAGAAAUAAGGGUUGAAAAGCAAUUUGUUGCCCAUACAGGAUCAGUGCGGGGAUC